UACGGAGGGUGCGAGCGUUGUCCGGAAUCACUGGGCGUAAAGGGCGCGUAGGUGGCGCGGGCAGUCAACGGUGAAAGUUCGGGGCUCAACCCUGAAUCGGCCGUCGAUACUCCCGGGCUUGAGCACUGUAGAGGCAGAUGGAAUUCCGGGUGUAGCGGUGGAAUGCGUAGAGAUCCGGAAGAACACCGGUGGCGAAGGCGGUCUGCUGGGCAGUAGCUGACACUGAGGCGCGGACAGCGUGGGGAGCAACAGG
rnacentral:rRNA from 1 species